rnacentral:rRNA from 1 species
AUUGAACGCUGGCGGCAGGCCUAACACAUGCAAGUCGAGCGGAUGAAGGGAGCUUGCUCCUGGAUUCAGCGGCGGACGGGUGAGUAAUGCCUAGGAAUCUGCCUGGCAGUGGGGGAUAACGUCCGGAAACGGGCGCUAAUACCGCAUACGUCCUGAGGGAGAAAGUGGGGGAUCUUCGGACCUCACGCUAUCAGAUGAGCCUAGGUCGGAUUAGCUAGUUGGUGGGGUAAAGGCCUACCAAGGCGACGAUCCGUAACUGGUCUGAGAGGAUGAUCAGUCACACUGGAACUGAGACACGGUCCAGACUCCUACGGGAGGCAGCAGUGGGGAAUAUUGGACAAUGGGCGAAAGCCUGAUCCAGCCAUGCCGCGUGUGUGAAGAAGGUCUUCGGAUUGUAAAGCACUUUAAGUUGGGAGGAAGGGCAGUAAGUUAAUACCUUGCUGUUUUGACGUUACCAACAGAAUAAGCACUGGCUAACUUCGUG